UACAGAGGAUGCAAGCGUUAUCCGGAAUGAUUGGGCGUAAAGCGUCUGUAGGUGGCUUUUUAAGUCCGCCGUCAAAUCCCAGGGCUCAACUCUGGACAGGCGGUGGAAACUGCAUAGCUAGAGGUUUGGAGGGGGGACUGGAAUUCUCGGUGUAGCAGUGAAAUGCGUAGAUAUCGAGAGGAACACCAGUGGCGAAGGCGAGUCCCUGGACAACACCUGACACUGAGGCACGAAAGCUAGGGGAGCAAACAGG
rnacentral:rRNA from 1 species